rnacentral:rRNA from 1 species
UACGAAGGGGGCUAGCGUUGCUCGGAAUCACUGGGCGUAAAGGGUGCGUAGGCGGGUCUUUAAGUCAGAGGUGAAAUCCUGGAGCUCAACUCCAGAACUGCCUUUGAUACUGAGGAUCUUGAGUCCGGGAGAGGUGAGUGGAACUGCGAGUGUAGAGGUGAAAUUCGUAGAUAUUAGCUAGAACACCAGUGGCGAAGGCGGCCAACUGGUCCGAUACUGACGCUGAGGUGCGAAAGCGUGGGGAGCAAACAGG